GAUUUCUGGUUCGGCGCACUUGGCCCGUCUCGGUUUACGGGAUUGUGUGCCGGUGUGCGCCAUCCAUCCUUCGAGAGAACACUCCUACCCUUCACUGGGUCGGGGGUGCUAUCUCGAUCUUUUACUUUGAAAAAAUUAGAGUGUUUAAAGCAGGCUUGCGCUAUGAAUACAUUAGCAUGGAAUAAUAAUUUAGGACUUUGCUCCUAUUUUAUUGGUUUCUAGGGGUAAAGUAAUGAUUGAUAGGGAUAGUUGGGGGUGCUAGUAUUCAGCGGCCAGAGGUGAAAUUCUCGGAUUCGCUGAAGACUAACUUAUGCGAAAGCAUU
rnacentral:rRNA from 1 species